CUGGAUACUGAGCCUGGUUUUGACCAACGGCAAAUUUUCGGAACUCCUGACAAUGCAGCAGGAAUCACAAGCCUUUUGCAUCAAAUCCUGUGAUUCAGGUCUUAAAACCUGAACUUGACUGCCUCCCCAUGGGAGUCACAAGUUCAGAACUACUGGCUUUUGUAAAAUUAGAUCAAUGAAAACCUUGAUACAAUCCUUGUCCACAUCUUCAAAACCAGAAGACUUCAUAUUCCAGUUUGCCCAGAAUAGUCCAGGUUUAUGUCUAUUGUCCAAGUUUGCUUAAUAAGAAAGUCCCUUUACUCUCAAAAUUAUCUCAGCAUGGAUAAUACAUUAUAUGGUCAUGCUAUGCAGAAAGAGACAAUGUGAGACAUGGCAUAUGUAGUAGUACAGAGCUGAACAAGCUCACAGGGUAAGGUUUACAGGGUUAUUAGCAGAGAGCCAGAGGGCAAAGACUCCAGGAAAAAGCAGCCAUCACUUGUUAUAUGUUAUUGCUAUCUUAAAGAACCAUCUGGUCAGGUGAGGUGGCUAAAGCCUGUAAUCACAGCACUUUGGGAGGCUAAGGCAGGCAGAUCACUUGAGGCCAGAGUUCAAGAUCAGCCUGAUCAACAUGACAAAACCCCAUCUCUUUGCCUGCUGCCAUCCAUGUAAGAUGUGACUUGCUCUUUCUUGCCUUCCACCAUGAUUAUGAGGCUUCUGCAGCCAUGUGGAACUGUGUUCCAACAGCCCCAGCUGAGAUCUCAGAUAACAGUCAGUGUCAAUUGUUAAGCAGUCAGCAUUAUAAGACAGUUAUCUCUCAUUUGGGAUGCUCACUCUUGGAACCCAGCCACCAUGUUGUGAGAAAGCUCAGGCCACAUGCAGAGGCCACAUAAAAUGAAGCCUGUGAAAAUUGAAUAAAGGAGGUGAAUCACAAUCUGGAGCUGACUUAAGAGAAUGAAUUCAAUGACAGCUACCUCAUAGGUCUGUUCUAAAAAAAAUUGUAAAAUUGUGUAAGUUAACACAGUGUCUGUAAAACCAUAAACACUCAACAGAUUUUAGUGCUCUUUA